rnacentral:rRNA from 1 species
AACCAUUGGAAACGAUGGCUAAUACCGCAUACGCCCUAUUGGGGAAAGAUUUAUCGGUGUUGGAUUGGCCCGCGUUAGAUUAGCUAGUUGGUGGGGUAAUGGCUCACCAAGGCGACGAUUUAUAGCUGGUUUGAGAGGAUGAUCAGCAACACUGGAACUGAGACACGGUCCAGACUCCUACGGGAGGCAGCAGUCGGGAAUAUUGUGCAAUGGGGGCAACCCUGACACAGCCAUGCCGCGUGAGUGAAGAAGGCCUUAGGGUUGUAAAGCUCUUUCAGAUGUGAGGAUGAUGACGAUAGCAUCAGAAGAAGCUCCGGCUAACUUCGUGCCAGCAGCCGCGGUAAUACGAAGGGAGCUAGCGUUGUUCGGAAUUAC